rnacentral:rRNA from 1 species
GCUGGCGGCAGGCCUAACACAUGCAAGUCGAGCGGUAGAGAGAAGCUUGCUUCUCUUGAGAGCGGCGGACGGGUGAGUAAUGCCUAGGAAUCUGCCUGGUAGUGGGGGAUAACGUUCGGAAACGGACGCUAAUACCGCAUACGUCCUACGGGAGAAAGCAGGGGACCUUCGGGCCUUGCGCUAUCAGAUGAGCCUAGGUCGGAUUAGCUAGUUGGUGAGGUAAUGGCUCACCAAGGCGACGAUCCGUAACUGGUCUGAGAGGAUGAUCAGUCACACUGGAACUGAGACACGGUCCAGACUCCUACGGGAGGCAGCAGUGGGGAAUAUUGGACAAUGGGCGAAAGCCUGAUCCAGCCAUGCCGCGUGUGUGAAGAAGGUCUUCGGAUUGUAAAGCACUUUAAGUUGGGAGGAAGGGUUGUAGAUUAAUACUCUGCAAUUUUGACGUUACCGACAGAAUAAGCACCGGCUAACUCUGUGCCAACAGCCGCGGUAAUACAGAGGGUGCAAGCGUUAAUCGGAAUUACUGGGCGUAAAGCGCGCGUAGGUGGUUUGUUAAGUUGGAUGUGAAAUCCCCGGGCUCAACCUGGGAACUGCAUUCAAAACUGACUGACUAGAGUAUGGUAGAGGGUGGUGGAAUUUCCUGUGUAGCGGUGAAAUGCGUAGAUAUAGGAAGGAACACCAGUGGCGAAGGCGACCACCUGGACUAAUACUGACACUGAGGUGCGAAAGCGUGGGGAGCAAACAGGAUUAGAUACCCUGGUAGUCC